UCCCUUCGGGUGUCUCUGGAGUCCUCCCCGCCCUCACCAUGAGCAGCCUGGAGAAGCUUGGGAGAGGGACAAGAGCGGUAGGGACGAAGGAAAUGUGGGAGAGGGGAAGUUCCGCCCCUGCUGCUCUGGAAAGGAUUAAAAAAAGGAAAACUGAAGGUUUAAUGGAAUGAACAAUAGAUGGAGUUAAUACUCAAGUUUUAUUUCCUGCUCUAUCACCAAUUUGAUGUAUGACUUUGGACACAGGAGGUACUUUACACCACUUUGGGCACUGUUCAAGUGAAGCUUCAGUGUUUUCAUGUGAGAUGGAGGUUAAAUGCCGAAGAAGACUUUCCAGUGGUCAAAGAUGAUGAGAUUCUGAAUACAACAAUGGGAAAAAUUUAUGGACUGUUAAGGACAGAUCUCCAAACUGGAUUGAGCUCCAAUUGCUUGAGAAUUAAAGAGGGACAAAAUGCUGCAACUGACAGAACAAUGGCAGUUCUAGCACCAGGAGUUAAAGUCCUUUGUCUCCUGUUCUCCAUUGGGAAGAGCAAUCAUCUGAAAGAUGGGAUGGUCAUCUCUGAAACUGUUGUUCUGAACUAUUCUUGCCUGUUUUCUGAAUUAUGGAGUCGGUGCUUCAAAUCUGCUCUGUGCCAUGCAUGA
rnacentral:lncRNA from 1 species